rnacentral:rRNA from 1 species
CUUAUAGAAUUAAUUAUAAGUAAAAUCUGCUCAAUGUAAUAUAAAUAUAUAUAUAUAUAUAUAUUAUAAAUAGCCGCAGUUAACUGUGCUAAGGUAGCAUAAUCAUUAGUCUUAUAAUUUAAGGCUAGAAUGAAAGAUUCAACAUUUUUAUAACUUUUUUUUUAACCCAAAUUUAACUUAUAUUAUAAAUAAAAAUAUUUAUAUAAAAAUAAUAGACGAAAAGACCCUAUUAAACUUUACUUUAGUUAAGCUGGGGAAGCUAAUUAAUUAUUAUUUUAAUUAUUUUUAAUAAAAACCCUAUAUAAUAGAAAUAAUCAAGUUACUAUAGGGAUAACAGCGUAAUAUUUUUUAUGAGAUCCUAUUAAAAAAAAAGAUUACGACCUCGAUGUUGAAUUAAUUUAUCUAUUAUUUGCAACAAAAUAAUAAGAGGGUCUGUUCGCCCUUUAAAUGAUUACA